UGUGGUGGGUGGAUGUGGUCAGUUGAGUGGUCAUUGGGGGUGGUCACUGGGGGUGGUCAGUGGGUGUGGUCAGUGAGGGGUGGUAACUUGGUGUGGUCCUUUUGGACAGUGGGGGUGGUCAGUGGUUGCGGUCAAUGAAUGUGGUCAAUAUGGCAGUUGGGUGGUCACAGGGUGUGGUCGAUGGUGCGGCCAGUGGGGGUAAUCAGUGAGGGUAUGGUCAGUAAGGUGGUCAGUGGGUGUGGUCAGUGGGGUGUGGCCACUGGUUGCGAGCAAUGGAUGUGGACAGCGGUGUGUGGUAAGCAGGGGUAUGGUCACUUGGGUAGUCAUUGGGUGCAGCCAGUGGGGUGUGGCCACUGGUGUCUUGGAAAUGGGUGUGUUAACUGGGUGUGG
rnacentral:lncRNA from 12 species